ACGAAACUUGUGAAUCGUGCAUUUGCUCUUCAUGGUAGCUGCCAAAAAAUCGAAUCAAACUUAUGGGACACUGGAUUACAGGUUGCUGCGACUACUCCAUGUGCCCGCAAUUGUCUUGCGUGUAUGAUUACACUAACGGCGUCGCCCACCACGGCGGAAGUGUUUUGCGUACACGCGUUUCAGCAUGAAGCCUGCAAGUGGACGUAAAUUGUAGAAGGCAGCUAGUGGGGGAGAAGAUCAUGGUCAUAGGUCAUGUGACUCCUGGAGCUCCCAGUGGGUUCCCUUGUGGAGUACU